rnacentral:lncRNA from 1 species
CCCAACUACAGCAGCAGCAGAAUAGCAAUCAAACACAGCAGCAACAUGCUCUUUCUGGUCAGCAACCUCAGAGCUCAAAUCACAGUCUCCAGCAAGAUAAAAUGAUUGGUAUUGUUGGUGAUGGCAGCGUCACAAAUUCCUUUCGUGGAAACGAUCAGGUCAAUCCUUAUCCAUCUUGUUUUAAGGCACUGUUCUUCCUGAUCCUUGGAUGGUGGGUUUACUACUCAUUUUAUGUGAAUGAAUAAAUGUGCACCAAAAGAUCUGUGUUGGGCCGAGGGAUGAAACUUCUGUAUCCUCUUAAUUAUUCAAGCUCUGAUACAAUAAGUUAGCAUUUCCAUUUACUGAUGUUGCUUACCCUGCAACGUUUUUAGUCUGUUAAAACUUCCUGAAGUUCUCAAGAUUAUCUAAAACUUUGUUUGAAUGUUAUGUUGACAAAUUCAUAGUCAUUUUUUAAAAUUCUUGUUGCAUUAUUUUACUGGUCAUCAGUUUUGGAGGCAUGUAAUUAUGAAGUUUAUGCAUAGUUCUUGUCAUUCCAAUAUAACCUAUAAAGGUUAUAUCACUUUUGAAUGCAUAAAAGUAUCAUGGAAUAUUGAUUACUUGCAAAUUGACUGUUGAUAUACAUUUGUCAAUUUUAGACGAGUACCAUGUUAGCUGUAGUGCUAUAAAUGGAAUUAUCAUAUUGACUUAUUAAAUGUGUAUAUUACUUCUUUUUUCUGUUUAAUCAGUUAGUAAUGACUUUAAGGAACUUGCUAACACAUGCUGAGCAGUCCCCCACCAAAAACUGGAAGCCACAUUUUAGAGGAGAAUUUAGGUUGAACUGCAGGUCAGAGUACUCGUGAAAAAUUGUAUGGCAAAAUUAAUGGAAACAAUGCUUGUAUAUAUUCAAUGUUUUGAUUUGUUGCCAACAUCUUUAUGAGACGUCAUUGACCCCAGCCAAAGCAUGGUGGGUCAUUGUUGGCAAGAAAUAUUACAUAAGGAAUAUAUUUUAAGUAGAAAUCUCGUGUUAUAAGUUGAACUUGAACUUCAAAAGGAAAGUAGCUUAAUUAAAAAGUAUAUAUAUAAAUAAAUAAUUCUGAAGUAUUUUUUUUUUUUUUAAUUAUUUUAGAUCAAGGUUGAGCAAAAACCAUGAAACUAGUAGAAAUAGAAUGGAACCAACGGGAACUUGCCCGUUCUGGCCAUUUCCAUGAAAAAAUAGUAAGUUUUGGUUCUUUAAAAUUGAUGACUAGAUUGUCGUGUCCUGUUCCACUAGACUGGGUCCAUGACUAGUGUAUUGCGC